rnacentral:rRNA from 2 species
UUUAUGGAGAGUUUGAUCCUGGCUCAGGAUGAACGCUGGCGGCGUGCCUAAUACAUGCAAGUCGAGCGAACAGACGAGGAG